UGGUGGGUAGCUUUGUGGUAAAGUGCUUGCCUAACAAGCAGGAGUCCCUGGGGUUCCAUGCCCAGCGUAUUAA
rnacentral:tRNA from 1 species